rnacentral:rRNA from 1 species
CACAGGUGGUCAGGUAGAGAAUACCAAGGCGCUUGAGAGAACUCGGGUGAAGGAACUAGGCAAAAUGGUGCCGUAACUUCGGGAGAAGGCACGCUGACACGUAGGUGAAGUGAUUUACUCAUGGAGCUGAAGUCAGUCGAAGAUACCAGCUGGCUGCAACUGUUUAUUAAAAACACAGCACUGUGCAAACACGAAAGUGGACGUAUACGGUGUGACGCCUG